ACCUCACCGCCCUUGUCUCUCUAAUAUCCUGGGACCAACACUGCAUAUACAAGUCAUUCUUUUCAUUUACAAAAUUGAAUUGUUAGAUUUGAAUGAGCUUAAAUUUUUUUUAAUUCUUGUUUCGUCAUUUUAUUAAGUAGCAAAGUGACAAUUUUAAAGGACAAAGGUUGGUGGCACUUUCCCAUAUUUGUGAUCCAGAAUGUUUGGAAAAAGGUUUUCAACUCUUAAGAAAUGUGUAAAUGUUUUAUUAAGCACUUUGGGUGAGAUUCUGCAGACCUUACUCAUGUUGAGUAGGACCUUAUUUCACAAGAAGCCUCAUUUAUUUCCACAGGACUACUCAUGGGGUAAGAUGCUAUGCUUAAGUAAGGGUGGAGAAAAGUAGUCCAUAGGGCUUUUACAAAGAUCUGUCAUGCAAAGUACUAUUAUAAUUAUUCCUUAUACUAUGAAUCGGGAUACCUAGAUGACCAUCAAUGGAAAAUGUUACUUAGGUCUGGUCUACACUAGCAACUUAUGUUGGUAUAACUAUGUCACUCAGGGGUGUGGAAAGUUCAGAGCCCUGAGCAAGGCAGUUGUACUGACCUAACUCCUUGUGUAGACAGCCUUAUGUUGAUGGGAGAGCAUCUCCCGUCAACAUAGCUACCACCUCUUGGGGAGGUGGAAUACCUACGCUGAUGGGAGAAGGCCUCCUGUCAGGGAGGUGGUCUUUUCACUGAAGCGCUACAGCAGCACAGCUGCAUCAGUGUAGCUGUGCCACUGCUGCCUUUUAAGUGUAGACAGGCCCAUAGUCAUCCUGAAUCAUAGGGGUUAAUACAUAGAAGGAUUUUUACCAUUUCUGAUGCUGAGCUUUUAGAGCUGCGUUCUAAUGUUCUACUGAGCUCAAGGGGCCAUCCUAAUUCAGUCAUUUUAUGUGUCAUAUAUUAUAUUAUUGAUGAUGGUGUACCACUUUACACAGUGCAUAUAGCUAACAUUUUCAAAAGUGCCUAAGUUCCAUUUUCAAAAGUGCUCUAGGCCUUUAGAAGCUUAAGUCCUGUUAACUUUCAAUGAGACAUAAGGAAAAGAUGUCAAAAGUGCUUAAGUGACGUAAGACUUUCAGUGAGACAUAGGAUUCUGAGCUCCUAAGUCACUUUUGAAAAUGUGACUUUGGCUCCUAUGUCACAUAGCCAAUUUGAAAAUUGUAGCCUUAGGCUAAACUUUUCAAACAUGAGUGCCUAAAAUUAAGCACUUGUGAUGGCCUGAUUUUCAGAAGUGCUGAACAUCCAUAAAUCCUGUUGAAGUCAAUGGGAACAAAGUGCUAAGAACUGUUUGAAAAUCAGGCCAUUUUAUUUCUGUUCUAAAUGUAUAUAAUGGCUCAACAGCAGACACAAUGAAUAAGUUGUGGGGACCUGUUUAAGGAUAGAACAGUCUGACUAUACAAUCCCAGAACAUUGUUUAAAGAUAUUAAAUAUUAAAGAUUAAUGUUCUGGUUAUUAAACUAGUAUUAGGAUACCAUGGAAAUUUAUAUAAUAUCUUUAAUUAUGGCUCCCAUAUUGCUGGAUUUAAAAAUAUCGAUCAUUAGCAAGUUCAGUCCUGUUAGGUUCAGAAAUGUCAGUUUUAACUUGAAACAUUAUUUCCAAGCACAGUUUUAUAGGAUGGGAGCUGGUCACUUCAGCGAGAGGAACUUUUUCAGCUUUCUUCUAAACAUUCCAAGCUUCAUAUUGUACUCAGGGUCUCGGAGCAUAUCUUGUCAUUUCACAUACUACGCUUGCACAUGCAAGCAGGGUAGACAAUUUUAUUUAGGUGGUGGCCUGGCCUAAAAUUAGAAAUAAUCUUGAGAUGCAAUGAGGGAGGUAAGUGACUGAGUUUUUCAUACCUCAGACCUUACUUCAUACCUAACAAGACUUGGAGGACAAUCAUUUGCAUUACAGAACUACCCUGGGGCGUGGUUGUGAUUUGGAACUCUUCACAAGAAGCUUUAGGAUAAGCUUAAGAUGGCAAUUCUCUCUCCCUGUUGUAGAAGCUGCUUUCGCCAAGUUUAAAUCCCAGAUCAUGACAAAGACAGUUUGUAAAAGCUUCCAGUCAGAAAGGGAGGAGCGUCACUUCUCCAGCACUGCCAGUCCUUUAGCCUUCAGCACAUAUACACCUUAAUUGACAAGAAGUAGUUGUCGUUAUAAAAGUCAGGAUGGGAAAGAGGGAUAAUGAGCCCACAUAUUUUAGCAACUAGAGUGAAAACUUAUUUUUUCAAGACAUGACUAUCCCAAAUGAGAAGAAAUAUAUAUUUUGAACCUUUUCUUUAUCUUCAUGAAACUGUGUAUUACAUCUUUGUCUGCUAUUGAUCAUUUGAUACAAAACUGGUGUUGGAAUCCUUAUUGUUAAUCUAAAAUUUUCAAAAAGUUCCCCUCAGGUUACUAUGUAUUUGUAUAUUUACUUAUACAGUGUAGUUGAUAACCAUAUUCCAGAAGACUUGUUUUCACAGCUGCAGAAAUGUUAGUGUGGUAGAUUGCAAGAUAUAUAACAUUCUAUACUAUGCACAUCCAAUUUUGGAAAAUGUAUAUGGUAUGAAACUGGGUGCUAUGUUGAAAUAAAAAGCUACAAUAGCUUCCAA